rnacentral:lncRNA from 1 species
CUAUUAUAUAGCUUCUUCUUUACUUCAUUUGCCAUUCGUGUUUUUUUUUCUCAGCAGUAAUUGUACGUCCAGCUUCUUAGCUUUGCCAUCUUCGUUGAUCAGGUCUCUCUCUCUCUCAGCUUGUUGGUGUUCGCUUGUUGUUUAGCUAGAGCCCAGCUUCUCAGUUGUUACUGCUAGACUAACAAGUUGCACAGAGAUCCGCAAAUGAGAAACAAGGACAAAAAUCAUUUCUUAUUUAUUUUUAAUCAACAGUAUUAUUACCAAUGUUUAAAAGGAAAAAAAAUGUCAUAAAACGAUGAACGAGCAUUUUACAACUAUUAGUUUUAGCAUAAUCUAUCACUAUCAGCUAGUUAUCGAUGAAGCUGAUGAGUUUAGUGAUUGGUCUAUUUAAUCCAUACUGGUCAAAUUUUAAUUAUUUUUCUUGAUUGUCGAGUUUCACCUUAAUAUAUGUUCUGAUUAAGGUCAAAUUUUGUUUAAGAAGUUUGAAUUAAAAUCAUAUUUAUAUAAAUUUACUUUCUGCUAAUUAGCAUGGUCCAACCAUGAAACUGCAGAGAUCACUAAAGAACAGUAUAAGUUUCGAAGAAAAAAUAUGUGGAAGCUUAAGAUUGCUGAAGGACAUGGACCAUAUUUGUAUAGCACCAACAAUUUUGCUGGCAGACAAAUUUGGGAGUACGACCCUAAUGGCGGAACACCAGAAGAAAGAGAAGCAUAUGAUAAGCUCGCGAAGAAUUCCAGAGAAAUCGAAAAUUAAAGGG